rnacentral:rRNA from 1 species
AACGAACGCUGGCGGCAUGCCUAACACAUGCCAGUCGAACGAGACCUUCGGGUCUAGUGGCGCACGGGUGCGUAACGCGUGGGAACCUGCCCUUAGGUUCGGAAUAACCCCCCGAAAGGGGUGCUAAUACCGGAUAAUGUCUUCGGACCAAAGAUUUAUCGCCUUUGGAUGGGCCCGCGUUGGAUUAGCUAGUUGGUAGGGUAAAAGCCUACCAAGGCGACGAUCCAUAGCUGGUCUGAGAGGAUGAUCAGCCACACUGGGACUGAGACACGGCCCAGACUCCUGCGGGAGGCAGCGGUGGGGAAUAGUGAACAAUGGGCGAAAGCCUGAUCCAGCAAUGCCGCGUGAGUGAUGAAGGCCUUAGGGUUGUAAAGCUCUUUUACCCGGGAUGAUAAUGACAGUACCGGGAGAAUAAGCUCCGGCUAACUCCGUG